GAUGAACGCUGGCGGCGUGCCUAAUACAUGCAAGUCGAGCGAACGGACGAGAAGCUUGCUUCUCUGAUGUUAGCGGCGGACGGGUGAGUAACACGUGGAUAACCUACCUAUAAGACUGGGAUAACUUCGGGAAACCGUAGCUAAUACCGGAUAAUAUUUUGAACCGCAUGGUUCAAAAGUGAAAGACGGUCUUGCUGUCACUUAUAGAUGGAUCCGCGCUGCAUUAGCUAGUUGGUAAGGUAACGGCUUACCAAGGCAACGAUGCAUAGCCGACCUGAGAGGGUGAUCGGCCACACUGGAACUGAGACACGGUCCAGACUCCUACGGGAGGCAGCAGUAGGGAAUCUUACGCCAUGGGCGAAAGCCUGACGGAGCAACGCCGCGUGAGUGAUGAAGGUCUUCGGAUCGUAAAACUCUGUUAUUAGGGAAGAACAUAUGUGUAAGUAACUGUGCACAUCUUGACGGUACCUAAUCAGAAAGCCACGGCUAACUACGUG
rnacentral:rRNA from 1 species